GGUGUUCUGCAGGGGCCUGCUCCAUUUUCCAGGGUGAAGGAGAGGCCGAGGGAGGUGGAGCGGGAGGAGGUGGGGCUUACUGUGAAACUGGGUCAAGAUGGCCUCGGAUUUGAGCAGGCAGGGCCACCAGGCUCUGAGGCAGCAGCUGUGAGCAGUGCCGAGGGAGGACCAGUCUGACGGUGAACGGAGAUGGAGUAGCAGCAGAUCUCUCGGUCCUGGAUGGCAGACAGAUUCCUGGAGGAAACCAGAGUAGAGUCCACUGAGGCUACGCACGUCCAGGGGGCCUGGGACUAAGGGACAGCAGGGCCUUUUUCUUAACAGGCUACAAUGGGGAGGGUGAGGUGCCUGAAAAGAUGGGCUCUGCUGCCACCGUGUGGCUAAUACUAAGAACAGCAGCAAGCCUAGGCUCUUGGUCUGGUGGUUGGGGAAUUGGGAGAGCAGCAAGUAAUAUAAAGAGCCACCCAACUCACA